rnacentral:rRNA from 1 species
GACGAACGCUGGCGGCGUGCUUAACACAUGCAAGUCGAACGGAAAGGCCCUGCUUUUGUGGGGUGCUCGAGUGGCGAACGGGUGAGUAACACGUGAGUAACCUGCCCUUGGCUUUGGGAUAACUUCAGGAAACUGGGGCUAAUACCGGAUAGGAGCUCCUGCUGCAUGGUGGGGGUUGGAAAGUUUCGGCGGUUGGGGAUGGACUCGCGGCUUAUCAGCUUGUUGGUGGGGUAGUGGCUUACCAAGGCUUUGACGGGUAGCCGGCCUGAGAGGGUGACCGGCCACAUUGGGACUGAGAUACGGCCCAGACUCCUACGGGAGGCAGCAGUGGGGAAUAUUGCACAAUGGGCGGAAGCCUGAUGCAGCAACGCCGCGUGCGGGAUGACGGCCUUCGGGUUGUAAACCGCUUUCGCCUGUGACGAAGCGUGAGUGGCGGUAAUGGGUAAAGAAGCACCGGCUAACUACGUG